UACGUAGGGGGCAAGCGUUGUCCGGAUUUAUUGGGCGUAAAGAGCGUGUAGGCGGCCAGACAGGUCAGCUGUGAAAACUCGAGGCUCAACCUCGAGACGUCGGUUGAAACCGUUUGGCUAGAGUCCGGAAGAGGAGAGUGGAAUUCCCGGUGUAGCGGUGAAAUGCGCAGAUAUCGGGAAGAACACCAGUGGCGAAGGCGGUUGCCUGGAGCUUUGCUGACGCUGAGGCGCGAAAGCGUGGGGAGCGAUCCGG
rnacentral:rRNA from 1 species